AUUUAGUCACAUCACGGGAAAAUAAUUUCUCCUUUGUAGAUAGAUGAAUUGUGUGUGGAAUUAAAGCAGGAACGUCCAACCUUUUGGCUUACUUGGGCUGCGUUGAGCGAAGAGGAAUGUUUUGGGCUGCAUAUGAAAUAUGUAAUGUAGUUAAUAUAAUUGUUUAAAACGGAAGAGAUGUUCUCUGAAAGUGAAUGUUAAGUGUUUCUACUUGAAGACCUGAGGAGAAUUCUACUGUUCCUUCGUGUUCUUGUUUUGAUGACUCCAAUAAGCAGUCCACCAGUCUUCUGUGAAAGGAAGCAAAGGAGCAAAAUACUUGUGAAUUAUCAUGUUAUUUAUCUUUCACAGUGUCUUUUCCCUUCACUACUGUAUCUGCCUGGUCUGCUUAGUCUGGAUUUUAAGCUGUGGGGUAGCUAUUGUUAUUCUUUGCACAGUGCCUGUUGCAGCUGGAUUGGCUUUGUAUCUGAGUGUUCUUGCAUUAUGUGCUUCUCUUAUAAAUAAUAAAAUGGAAUAAGGGAGGUCGUGGAAGAAUCUUGCUGUAAAAGAAUUGUACUUAUCACCUCAUACGUUCUACUUAGGUACAGUUUUGAAUUGGCUCACUCAAAGAGGUGCAAGAUGUACAGCAGUGAACAGCAGUGCUUUUUGUAAAAGUGAGUGUAGUUUUGAAGCUAGAGGUAUUGCAGUGAAAAUGAAAUAGAGCGAAUUUGCAAGAAUGAAACACCAGGGAGUCAUAUACUUCUUGAAAUUUAUUAAAGAGCCAAAGUUAAAAGUGUUUUGGUUAAAUAUUUUCUAUUUUAGUUUUGACAUGCUCCCAGCUUUCUUAAAUGGGCAGGCUGUAGAUGUUCCAAUGUUAGCCAAGUGUAGCAGUGGCAAGAAUUAUUAAUGAUACCGCCAAUUACAGAAAUUUCAGUCAGAAAUGUGAUUACUAAGUAGCUAGCAUUCAUUGAGUAUGUUGAAUGAGUUCUACACACAAGUGAAAUAGUCAAUAUAUUAAAAGAGUAUUUUACCCAUAAAUAGACUGAAAGACAGAUUGUCUUGUGUGCAGUCAUAGAUUCUCCUUGGGGUUUACUCUUUCACAACAAAAACUUGCCUAUGCUUUGUGUAUCUGCACAACCUGUAAGUACCUCGUAAUUCUACUGGCUGUAAAGCUGGUGCUCUGAAACUUCGUUUCUACCUAGAAAGGGAAUGAGUAUUUCUGUGCCUUGUGCCAGCCAUGUAAGGUGUUGUUAGUAGCGCCCUUCAGAUUCUGUGUAAUGCCACACACAACUUUGCACUUUACCACAACAAUGGAAACUAUUUUUUUUUUCUUGAAAGUGUUGAAAUUUGGCUGCAUGGGCUAUGGUGGUUUUUGUUUGUUUGUUUUGGCCAUUGAACAUAUUGUUCCAGCCAUAUCUCUUCAGUGUACCUGAUCUAGUUAAAAUUCAACAUUCUGUAGGCUCCUGGUUUAGCAGGACAAUUUAAAACCUCUUAAAUCAGGAAUAAACUGAAAAGAUUGUAAAAAGUAAUUUUUUAAGAAUGAGAUGUAUAAAAAAUUGUUUCCAAGUGAUCUAGAAAAGGAGACAAGACUGUGAAAAACUUGCCAGAGAUUUUUCCUCUUGCUUAAAACCUUGCUUGUGUUUACUAAAUAUUUUGUCUUCCUAGGGAUUAAAGAUCAUCUUUAUUCCACCAUCUCUGUAUUUCUGAAUUUGGCACUCCAGAACAGCUGUAAUUUUUCCAGCAUGAAAUGUAUGGAACUUUCCUUAAAGCAUUAUUUUGGACAACUGUCCUAGCUUGUGGCAUCAAGAGCUUUUUUCAGGAUAAUACAGUCUAAAAUCUUUCAGGACUUUCCUGGAUCCUUUAAUGGUCUUUGGAUCAUGCCCUGGUGUGGGGAGAGCAAGGAUUAGGUGGGCUGAGUGUAACAAAAAGCACUCACUCACAGUGCUAAAACAGAUGUGUGCUUUAGUGUAUCUAGAGUCAAAAUCCUUUGUAAACUUGAGCAUUGUGUAGAGGGUAUUAUUUACCAAGCAUACAGUGUGAAACAAGGUUUUAGUUGGUAGCGCCACAAAACAACUGAGUAUAUGCUGAAGAGUUAUAGAAUGCAUUUUACUUCAGAAGUAAAUAUAUUAAGGGAUAAUC
ensembl:lncRNA